rnacentral:rRNA from 1 species
AGAGCGAACGCUGGCGGCAGGCUUAACACAUGCAAGUCGAGCGCCCCGCAAGGGGAGCGGCAGACGGGAGAGUAACACGUGGGAACGUACCUUUCGGUUCGGAACAACCCAGGGAAACUUGGGCUAAUACCGGAUACGCCCGUAGAGGAAAGAUUUAUCGCCGAAAGAUCGGCCCGCGUCUGAUUAGCUAGUUGGUGAGGUAACGGCUCACCAAGGCGACGAUCAGUAGCUGGUCUGAGAGGAUGAUCAGCCUCACUGGGACUGAGACACGGCCCAGACUCCUACGGGAGGCAGCAGUGGGGAAUAUUGGACAAUGGGCGCAAGCCUGAUCCAGCCAUGCCGCGUGGGUGAUGAAGGCCCUAGGGUUGUAAAGCCCUUUCGGCGGGAAGAGUAAUGACGGUACCCGCAGAAGAAGCCCCGGCUAACUUCGUGCCAGCAGCCGC